rnacentral:snRNA from 1 species
AUGUUCACUUCAGGGGUAUACAUACUAAAUUAGGACAAUACAGAGAAAAUUAGCCUGUCUCGUCUUCAUGGAUGUCAUGCAAAUUUAUAAAUAUUUCCUUGUAAUA